AGUGAACGCUGGCGGCAGGCCUAACACAUGCAAGUCGAGCGGAAGCACAGUGAGAGCUCGCUCCUACGGGUGGCGAGGGGCGGACGGGUGAGGAGUACAUAGGAAUCUAAUUUGUCGGGGGGGACAACGGGGGGAAAGAUACGAUAAUACAGCAGACGACGAACGGGUGAGAGCAGGGGAGCAUCGGAGCUUGGGCGACACAAUGAGACGAGGUCGCAUUAGCUAGUUGGGAGGGUAACGGCCCACCAAGGCGACGAUCCGUAGCUGGGCUGAGAGGAUGAUCAGCCACACUGGAACUGAGACACGGUCCAGACUCCUACGGGAGGCAGCAGUGGGGAAUCUUCGACAAAGGGCGAAAGCCUGAUCCAGCCAUGCCGCGUGAGUGAUGAAGGCCUUCGGAUCGUAAAGCCCUUUUAUUGGGGAAGAACAGCAGUAUGUUUAUCCCUCGCUGUUUUGACGGUACCUAAAGAAUAAGCACCGGCUAACUUCGUG
rnacentral:rRNA from 1 species